GGCAAGUGCCAUAAUGUCACCAGCUGCUUCUCAUCACAUAAUGUUCUAGCUUAUGUUAAAUUGGACAAAGAUGGCAAACUAAUAAUGCACAGAUUUAGGAAGCUGAUUUUAGGGUCUUUUAGAGCCAGUGGAUUCUGCUUCAUGACUGCAGAUCUAAGGUAAAAAACUUUACCUUGAAGAAGUGGUAAUUCAGCUGUAUGAGGUUGUACAUAUUUGAGAAGGCACAGUUUAGAAGCACACCUGAUGCUUUUAUCAAGACAUCAAAGUGUGUGAGAUGUGGUAUUUCUCUGUAAGUUCAGAGUGAUCCUAGAGUUUGCCAGAAACAGUUUGAAAAAUGCUUCUGAAGGAUUUUGUGAUGCUUUUCACCAUUCCAGAGAGGGGGAGGGGAGAGCAGCUGAGAGAUUAACUUCCUUGGGAGAUGUUUAAUACAUCAUCGAAUCAUUACACAGCUAGGAAACAAAUACGAUUUUGCUAUGCAUACACAGGCGUGGUAAAACACACGUACAGUGUGUGGUGAGAUAGCCAGUAUAUCCAAAACCACCCGCUGGUUAGAGCUGACUUAGAGCUAAACUGAAUUACUGUUUCCUCAAGGAAGUAUGAAAAAGUAUAGGUCGCCCCUUACAAGUACAGUUUGCUGGACUGAAAGUAUUUCAUGGGAGAUAAUGGGAAAGUAAGGGUUAUUGUCACUUGUUAUUCCCUGUGAUGUUGUCCUUGAUCUGACUGCAGCUGCCAUUCUAGAUUUCUAUAAAUCAUUAGACUCCAAAGCUGAGACCUGCAGUGCCUUAGCUCUAGAAAAUGCUUGCAGAAGUAACAGUUGAGUUACGAAUUCACUCAGUGUUCCUGGUCUGUUGGACAGGGUGUUUAGUCUCCUGUCUGCUCUGCUAUGGAGAUAGGAAAGAUCCUUCAGAGUUUUGCUAAUCCUCUGGCUCUGGUCUGGUGCAUAGCUAAUGCACGGUAGUGUUACAGUUGGUCUUCUUCAUGGUUUUUCAUGCUGGUUUUGUCUAAUGUCUUCGAAUACUUAAUUUAACACUUACAUGCAAUGUUGUCCAACCAAAGACAUACUUCUGGGCAAUUCUCAAGAUGGUUUGGUGUCCAGCACCAGGCUGUGUUCCUAGAUGGCAUCUUUAACAUAUGGACAAAUGAAGCCAGCCUAAAACAAACCCUCUUUGUUACCAAGGGCACUUUUAUACAGUGGCAUCCCUCUCCAGCAUGGUGCUGGUAGUACAAAUCUACCAAAGCACAAAAUUAUUUUGAGUCUUACCCACCACUCACAGAUCUUCAUCCGUGCCAGAAAGUUUCCCAUUGUUAAAAGGAGUUAUUACAAUGCUAAAAUGAAAUAUUUAAGGCAUGGUAUGCAUAUUAAAUAUAGUUAGAAAUUUGAGCACCCACUGCUAUUUUAUAUCACCUCGGUUUGUUGAGUUGAUCAAUGGGCAUUAUAACGAUGCAGUCACAUGUCCAGUACUAUUUUCACAUUUUAAUUCUAUUUGCAAAGCACUCGCAACAUUUCUGCUUAAUCAGUAAAAUAUUAGUGUCACCUUUUCUGGUUGUAGAGUGAAAAAAAUCUGUAAAUAUCAUCCUAUCAAAUGGGAGAGAUAACAGUAAAUGAGAAUAAUUUUUAUCUCAAUGUGGGGAAGGAAACCCUACCAAAACACAGACAACCUGCCAAAUCACAGGGCAAAGUAAAGUCAAAAUAUAGAGAGUUUUUAUACAGACUGCAAUCAAACUAUACCAAAAGCUAUCUUGUUUCCUAUCACUCUCAUUUAAACCACAGACCAGAGAGCUUGCCGCAUCAAAACUGUUGGAAAAGCCUGGGGAAAAGGCAAUAGUGAUGCAGAACUUCCAAAAAAAAAGAGAAGUACAAAGAUCAUAGAAGAGUAUUUGAUAAGCAAUAAACUGCAUAAAAGAACCAGCAGUGUGAAUCCGAAAUUUAACUUCUACCGAAAAUAACAGGAUAUCCACCUAUUACAAAAUGAAAUGUAAAACAACGUUGCUGGUGAUUUGAGUAUAAAAUAAUGCUGCAGUAACCAAGUGUAAUGCACCACUGAAACCAAAAACACUUCCAGAUUCAUGCUAAAGUUCAGAUCAAGACUCUGGAGCCACUUCCAAAAACAGCUGAGGGAACCAGCACUUGAUAGUCUUGAAAAAUAGACUGAAACUUUUACUGUUAAAACGCGGUACUGCAGAAGUCACUGAUAGAGGGGCACUUUGACCUUAAAAUUAGCUCUGAUGGAAGAUCAUUCUUUGGCAGAGAGGUCUGUACAGCUCACACACAAUUACUGGACACUGAAGAAAAGCUAUACCUUACUGACUUCAAGGGUCUGGUACAGUAAAAAGAACAAAUUGGAUCCUUAAAAAAGGCUUAAAAACCAGUGGUGAGAACUGGGACCUCCUGUCUGCAGGCUCAACCCUACAGUAAAUUGCUUUUGAGGUCCCUACUGGACCUCAGCUUCUGUUUCUGCAUUGUGCUGUUCAUUCAGGGCUGGAAUAUUUUAACCAACAGUGAGAUGGAAAUGGUCAGUAUCUUUCUAUGGUAAUUAUUCAUUGCUAGGAAGUCUGGUAGCUGAAAGACCAAAGAGAGGCAUCCAGAAAGCUAAUUCACUAUUUGAAAAUCACUGAAAGAGACAGGACUUUGAAAACUGUUUAUCUGAUAAAGCCACAGCCUGGGUUAGCAUCUUCUGUAAAACUGUGGACAAAUUGUGUGAUGCUGUCAAUAAAAUUUGUAUGCCUACUGGAAAAAAUGUAAUUUAGUUCAUCACACAGAUCACAUAGUGUUACGCAGAAAAUUCCUCUAUUUAACAGGAUGCUGUAACCACUGCCUGCACUAGCAAGAGGAACAGCUGAAGGAGCUUUGAUCCUCUGGAAAUCAACUUUUGUGAUGAUGAAAGAUGUCUUCACCCAACAUGAGACAGUUUAUAAAGUCCAAACUUGUGCUAAACAUGAUUUCACUAAUCAGAUGUUCUACGCUCCUUUGAAGACCUCAAAAGUAUUGAAGUUAAAAAGCUCUGAGAAUAUUUGUUAUGAGCAGGAAUAAAUAUUCCAGUUCUACAUCAACCUCAUGAUGGACUAAUACUUGAACAGACUGGUAGAAAGUCUGCAGGCCAUGUUGAUAUUCCGCACAGGAGCUUCAGACAUCUGAUUGCCUGGCUUGACUGCAGCAGGAUGGCAAUAUGAAUUGACAUGAUUGAAACAGCUCCAAAAGGCUUCUGUAAAGAAUGGUAAAACUAGAAAAAAUAUUUACUGUUUCUUGGGUGAAUUGA